rnacentral:rRNA from 1 species
CCCUUAGAUGUCCUGGGCCGCACGCGCGUUACACUGAUGCAUUCAACGAGCUUAUAACCUUGGCCGAAAGGCAUGGGUAAACUUGUGAAAGUUCAUCGUGAUGGGGAUAGAUUAUUGCAAUUAUUAAUCUUCAACGAGGAAUUCCUAGUAAGCGCGAGUCAUCAGCUCGCGUUGAUUACGUCCCUGCCCUUUGUACACACCGCCCGUCGCUCCUACCGAUUGAAUGGUCCGGUGAAAUCUUCGGAUUGCUGGAUAGGACUUCAUUGACCUAUCUGCGAGAAGUUGCUUGAACCUUAUCAUUUAGAGGAAGGAGAAGUCGUAACA